UUUGGAAAUUGCACAAUGGGCGCAAGCCUGAUGCAGCGACGCCUGCGUGAGGGAUGACGGCCUUCGGGUUGUAAACCUCUUUCAGUAGGGACGCAGGCCUCAGUUUUUGUUGGGGUUGACUUUACUUACAGAAGAAGCGCCGGCUAACUACGUGCCAGCAGCCGCGGUAAUACGUAGGGCGCAAGCGUUGUCCGGAAUUAUUGGGCGUAAAGAGCUCGUAGGCNGGUUUGUCGCGUCUGUCGUGAAAACCCACAGCUUAACUUGUGGGCUUGCGGUGGGUACGGGCAGGCUUGAGUGCGGUAGGGGAGACUGGAAUUCCUGGUGUAGCCGGUGGAAUGCACAGAUAUCAGGAGGAACACCGGUGGCGAAGGCGGGUCUCUGGGCCGUUACUUGACGCUGAGGAGCGAAAGCAUGGGGAGCGAACAGGAUUAGAUACCCUC
rnacentral:rRNA from 2 species